UCCCUGGUGGCCUAGUGGUUAAGGAUCUGGCGUUGUCACUGCAGUGGCUCAGGUUCAAUCCCUGGCCUGGGAA
rnacentral:tRNA from 1 species